GUUAGCAACCAUGCAUUGAGAACUUUUUUAAAAAAUGCCUUUAGUUCUUUUGUCAGAAAGUUUGGGCCUGGCUAGUGCCUGGAUGGGAGACCAACUAGGAAAGCUGGGUUGCUGCUGGAA
rnacentral:rRNA from 1 species